rnacentral:rRNA from 1 species
CGGGUGAGUAAUAUAUCGGAACGUACCCAGGAGUGGGGGAUAACGUAGCGAAAGUUACGCUAAUACCGCAUACGAUCUAGGGAUGAAAGCAGGGGGCCUUCGGGCCUUGCGCUCAUGGAGCGGCCGAUAUCUGAUUAGCUAGUUGGUAGGGUAAAGGCCUACCAAGGCGACGAUCAGUAGCUGGUCUGAGAGGACGACCAGCCACACUGGGACUGAGACACGGCCCAG